AUACUAGAGGCGGGGUGGGUGUGGGGGUCGCCCGAUGACGGACGGCUGUGUGUGAGCCUCGCCUCAAACUGUCUCUAUUGUGUUAGAGUAGGGGGCGCUAAGAGAGCAGCGACCUUCCCCGCACUCCACCCAGUCUGCCCUGCCUUCCAGGCCUCCGCCCCGGUUCCACCUCCACCCCAACCCGCCCCGCCUCACAGCCCUCCCCCACCUCAUCCCACAGACAAGAGUGCUAAUUUAACCAUGUGCGGUUCCUGCAGAGGCUCAGUUGCACCCACCUCUAUGCAUGUGGGACUCACACCUUCCAGCCCCUCUGUGCAGCCAUUGAUGCUGAGGCCUUCACCUUGCCAACUAGCUUUGAGGAGGGGAAGGAGAAGUGUCCUUAUGACCCAGCCCGCGGCUUCACAGGCCUCAUCAUUGGUGAGCAGGCCCUCUUCCCUGGCACAAGCAUGGGGUUUUUAGGAUGUGGAUCUCAUCUUUAGAACUUGCCACCAUAUAUAUGUCAUGUGUCCCGUUGUAUAUGACACGUCUCUCCUGGAAUGUCCCCACCCCAGAUGGAGGCCUCUACACAGCCACUAGGUACGAAUUCUGGAGCAUUCCCGACAUCCGCCGGAGCCAACACCCACACUCCCUGAGAACCAAGGAGACACCAAUGCACUGGCUCAAUGGUUAGGGGGCUGAGGCACAGAGUGGCAGGGGGGUAGGAGACUAUUUCUUCAUGUUUACUUCCUUGGGCAGCUGCCUAUCCAACCCUGAAUGCCAAGGUGAAACUAUCCAUUCCAUUCUUGUGUGUUGUCAAGGGUAGGGUCGGCCUUGGAGUGAGGGAAAGGGGUCCCCAGCCUGUCUA
rnacentral:lncRNA from 13 species